rnacentral:rRNA from 1 species
GAUGAACGCUGGCGGCGUGCCUAAUACAUGCAAAUCGAACGGGGGUCCGCAAGGAUCCUAGUGGCGAACGGGUGAGUAACGCGUUGGUGACCUGCCCUGGAGUGAGGGAUACCAGGCCGAAAGGCUUGCUAAUACCACAUGAGUAGUCGAGAGAUUAGAAGCUUGACUGCAAAGGAGAAAUCCGCUCUGGGAGGGGCCUGCGACCCAUCAGCUAGUUGGUAAGGUAACGGCCUACCAAGGCGAUGACGGGUAGGGGACCUGAGAGGGUGGCCCCCCACAAUGGAACUGAAACACGGUCCAUACACCUACGGGUGGCAGCAGUAGGGAAUAUUGCAUAAUGGGCGAAAGCCUGAUGCAGCAACGCCGCGUGUGCGAUGAAGGCCUUCGGGUUGUAAAGCACUUUUGAUCGGGAAGAGGAAGGACGGUACCGGUCGAAUAAGCCUCGGCUAACUACGUGCCAGCAGCCGCGGUAAAACGUAGGAGGCGAGCGUUAUCCGGAUUUACUGGGUGUAAAGCGCGUGCAGGCGGUUGGCGAAGUUGGGUGUGAAAGCUCCUGGCUCAACUGGGAGAGGUCGCUCAAAACUGGCCGACUAGAGAGCAGUAAGGGAAGGUGGAAUUCCGGGUGUAGUGGUGAAAUGCGUAGAUAUCCGGAGGAACACCAGUGGCGAAGGCGGCCUUCUGGACUGCAUCUGACGCUCAGACGCGAAAGCUAGGGUAGCAAACGGGAUUAGAGACCCCGGUAGUCCUAGCCGUAAACGAUGUGAACUUGGCGCUGGGUGGGUAAAACCGUUCAGUGCCGGAGCAAACGCGAUAAGUUCACCACCUGAGGACUACGGCCGCAAGGUUA